rnacentral:rRNA from 1 species
UACGUAGGGUGCAAGCGUUAAUCGGAAUUACUGGGCGUAAAGCGUGCGCAGGCGGUUCUAUAAGAAAGAUGUGAAAUCCCCGGGCUCAACCUGGGAACUGCAUUUGUGACUGUAGAGCUGGAGUACGGUAGAGGGGGAUGGAAUUCCGCGUGUAGCAGUGAAAUGCGUAGAUAUGCGGAGGAACACCGAUGGCGAAGGCAAUCCCCUGGACCUGUACUGACGCUCAUGCACGAAAGCGUGGGGAGCAAAAGGG